AUUGAACGCUGGCGGCAUGCCUUACACAUGCAAGUCGAACGGCAGCGCGGACUUCGGUCUGGCGGCGAGUGGCGAACGGGUGAGUAAUACAUCGGAACGUACCCUGUUGUGGGGGAUAACUAGUCGAAAGAUUAGCUAAUACCGCAUACGACCUGAGGGUGAAAGUGGGGGACCGCAAGGCCUCACGCAGCAGGAGCGGCCGAUGUCUGAUUAGCUAGUUGGUGGGGCAAAGGCCCACCAAGGCGACGAUCAGUAGCUGGUCUGAGAGGACGAUCAGCCACACUGGGACUGAGACACGGCCCAGACUCCUACGGGAGGCAGCAGUGGGGAAUUUUGGACAAUGGGGGCAACCCUGAUCCAGCAAUGCCGCGUGUGUGAAGAAGGCCUUCGGGUUGUAAAGCACUUUUGUCCGGAAAGAAAUCGCGCUGGUUAAUACCUGGCGUGGAUGACGGUACCGGAAGAAUAAGGACCGGCUAACUACGUGCCAGCAGCCGCCGUAA
rnacentral:rRNA from 1 species